rnacentral:rRNA from 1 species
AUUGAACGCUGGCGGCAGGCCUAACACAUGCAAGUCGAACGAGUGGCGGACGGGUGAGUAAUGUAUGGGGAUCUGCCCGAUAGAGGGGGAUAACUACUGGAAACGGUGGCUAAUACCGCAUACUAUCGGUUGAACCCAUAUGGGAUUAGCUAGUGGGUGGGGUAAAGGCUCACCAAGGCGACGAUCUCUAGCUGGUCUGAGAGGAUGAUCAGCCACAGUGGAACUGAGAAACGGCCCAGACUCCUACGGGAGGCAGCAGUGGGGAAUAUUGCACAAUGGGCGCAAGCCGGAUGCAGCCAUGCCGCGUGGAUGAAGAAGGCCUUAGGGUUGUAAAGUACGUUCAGCGGGGAGGCGUUACCCGCAGAAGAAGCACCGGCUAACUCCGUGCCAGCAGCCGCGGUAAUAC